UACAUGGGGUGCAAACGUUGCUCGGAAUUAUUGGGCGUAAAGCGCACGUAGGCGGUCCGUUAAGUCGGAUGUGAAAGCCCCCGGCUCAACCGGGGAAGUGCAUCCGAAACUGGCGGGCUAGAGUACGAAAGAGGGUCGCGGAAUUCCCGGUGUAGAGGUGAAAUUCGUAGAUAUCGGGAGGAACACCGGUGGCGAAGGCGGCGACCUGGGUCGAUACUGACGCUGAGACUCGAAAGCGUGGGGAGCAAACAGG
rnacentral:rRNA from 1 species